UUCAAAUGCAAAUUUCCUUAUUAAGAAUGUGAAACUCAAAGAUCAAUGGCUUUUCAAAAGCAGCACACCAAACUGUCAAAGUGGUGAUCCCUCUUCAUUUGACAUGCUCACAAAGAGGAGAAUAAGACAAGAAAGCAAGCUAACCCAGAAACAGUGAGGUGACAGUGCACCUCAAACACAGGAAAAUAAAAUGCAUAACUAUACUGAUUGGAUGCUGCUCAAAAUCAGCCUACAUGCCAUCUUUGGUACGUGUGAACAAAGUUACCAAUUCCUAUUCUAACUAUGAUAUACUCAAAACUGUACAAUCAGUAAUGGGAUGCUCUAAAGACAAAAGAACUGCAAACCCUUUUUAAAAAAUUAUUUUCAGUAACAGUGUUACUUUUUGGUAUUAAGAUUCUAAGAAUACCCUGUGGAUAAUGUGGAACAAACCAAAUGAAUACUUAUGUGAAUGUGAUAUUCUCAAAUUAUCAUCCCUGGUAUUCCAGAGUAACAAGAUUCUUGGUGGUGACAGAAGGCAAUACAAAUAAGAUAGAAGUUAAAUAAAAACCUUGUAGUCUUCAAUUUAAAUAAAACUAUACGUAUAAAACUUUAAUUUAAAUAAAAUUAUGAUUGUUACAUCUUUUAAAUAGAAAAAAAAGGCCUAGAAACAAUGAUCAAUGCAACAGCAAAUAAGAAUCUCUAGAACCUAAAUACCUUUUUUUUGCUAGACUCAGCCAAUUUUUCAAGAAACGCUAUUUCCUUUUAAUGUUUCCUUCAAUGA
rnacentral:sRNA from 1 species